AUGCGGCGGUGCCGGGGCGCAGGGCUGGCGGGGCUGGCCGCGCUGCUCCUGGUGGCUGUGGCAAGAGCCCAGGUGCAGCAGGACCCAUUGGCAGAGACAACCGAGGGUACCAGCAUCAGCAUCAACUGCUCACACGCCAACAUACAGACAAACGAGGUCAUCCACUGGUACCGUCAGCUCCCUGGCAGAGGCCCCACAUUCCUCGCACUCGCUCUUAAAGAGUCCAAAGAGCUGCAGGACCCGCCGGGGCGGCUGUCGGUGGCGGCAGACCGCCGGUCCAGCGCCCUGUGGCUCGCCCGGCCCCGGUGCGGGGACGCGGCGGUGUAUUACUGCGCCCUGAGGAGUCCCUAUGUCCCUGAGGUGCUCCACCAGAAGGCAUUAUCUGCUUGUACCUCCCACCUCACCAUCGUCCCCAUCCUCUAUGGAGCUCUCAUCUUCACGUAG